rnacentral:rRNA from 1 species
UACGUAGGGUGCAAGCGUUGUCCGGAUUUACUGGGUGUAAAGGGUGCUCAGGCGGAUUUGUAAGUCAGAGGUGAAAUCUCACAGCUUAACUGUGAAACUGCCUUUGAUACUGCAAGUCUAGAGUUAUGGAGAGGGUGAUGGAAUAUCUGGUGUAGCAGUGAAAUGCGUAGAUAUCAGAUAGAACACCAAUGGCGAAGGCAGUCACCUGGCCAUUAACUGACGCUAAAGCACGAAAGCGUGGGUAGCGAACAGGAUUAGAUACCCUGGUAGUCCACGCCCUAAACGAUGAGUACUAGACAUUGGGAGCUAAGCUUUCAGUGUCUGAGCUAACGCAUUAAGUACUCCACCUGGGAAGUACGAUCGCAAGGUUGAA